GAUCUUGCGACAAUGGGCGAAAGCCUGACGCAGCAACGCCGCGUGCGGGAGGACGGCCUUCGGGUNGUAAACCGCUUUUCGGGGGGNAGAGGAAGGACGGUACCCCCGGAAGCAGUCUCGGCUCACUACGUGCCAGCAGCCGCGGUAAUACGAAGGGUGCAAGCGUUAAUUGGAAUUACUGGGCGUAAAGCGCGCGUAAGUGGUUUGUUAAGUUGGUAGUUAAAGCCCCGGGAUCAACCUGGGAACUACUUUCAAAACUGGCAAGCUAGAGUACGGUAGAGGGUAGUGGAAUUUCCUGUGUAGCGGUGAAAUGCGUAGAUAUAGGAAGGAACAUCAGUGGCGAAGGCGACUACCUGGACUGAUACUGACACUGAGGUGCGAAAGCGUGGGGAGCAAACAGG
rnacentral:rRNA from 1 species